CAGGGGGUGGGGUUUACCCGGUCCCCAAACGCCGCCUCUUGCAGAGGAACGAGUCCCUCUCUGCGUUCGACCUGGCAGCGCCAUUCCCCCGCUGCGCUGGGGGGCUUGCUGGAUCUUCUCCCCUCCAGUUCGGGGAUCCCCAAGCAGCCACCAGGCGAACCCCGGUCCCUAGGAUCCGGCGAGGUACCGGACAGGCGCCCGAAAAGCACCCGGAGCGCGCCUCCUGGGCGGCAAGGGGAGGGAAAAAGGAGGAGCUGCUCGCCAGGCUUGAGUCCUCGCUCCUGGGCACCGUGUGAUAUCACCACCCCUCUCCCGGGACCCUCUCAGAAUUCCAGAGGCCGGCACAAUGCUUCCUGAGAUUCUGCGGGUAACCUGCAGUGGGCUGGUAAGGUUAUCGAGCAGGGUAAAGAGAGACACAGCAAGAGGGGGAACACAACAAGGGGAGUGGAAGAGGGAGAAGCAGGCCUCCCGUGGAGCAGGGAGCCCGAUACGGGGCUCCAUCCCAGGACCCUGGGAUCGUGACCUGAGCCGAAGGCAGACGCUUAACGACUGAGCCACCCAGGCGCCCCUGCACUGAAGAUUUAUGACUAAUAUGUGUAAAGCUUCCUCCCCACUCUCACCCCCACCUAAAGUUCUUUUGUUCUGGGAUCCUGCUGGCUCAUCCCUAAUUUUAGGAAGAGGUUUUUCCCUUUGAUGUUUUGCCUGGGCUCAGCCCCUCCUCUACUCCCGCUCCCUACGGGGUCAAGUGGUUUUAGCCAUAAGGAGACCAAGUACAACUCUGUCCUCUGUCCCAGGGCUAGUGACGAAAAUCCUGAACUCCUAGUGUCACUUGAUGGAGUGAGUGGUCAUUCUGUAGAAGUUAGAUUGUAAGUUGCAUCCUCCUCCCGUGUUUUUCAGCCCACAAUAUAAACAAGCGACGCCAGGUUGGGCCCCAAGAAUGUUUUUACAAUUGGAAUUUUUCUCCUUUGGCAGAAGUAUGAAAGCAACAAGAAUAAAAUCUAGGUGGAGUAAGGAUUGGGGCAGCCACAUAGGGUUAUUAACAUUGGGCACCACAUGUGUACUCAUCCAAAGGGACACCAUUCACAUCAGACAUCUUUAUUAUUCUGAAAAUUUUGUGCGUUUAUUAAUAUUGCUUAUUGCCAAGAUGGGUGACUUGUAUGUUUAUUACAACUUCCCGACAGAUGGCAGUAAAGUGUCUGUUUUAAGAGGAUUAAUGUAUUUUGUUCUGCUUCCGUGCACAAAGGAAAAAUGAGUCAGUAAUCAGAACCAACAACAGAUCUAAUGUUAUCUGAAAAUAUUUCUGCUUCUAAACAAGAAAAUGCCUUUCUAAUUGAUAUGCUGAUAGGCAAGUAUUUAAAAACAAAUCCCAUUGUUAUUAGUACACCAGCUAAUUUAAUGUUUCACAUUGCAUCACAUCAUCUGCUGUUUAUUUGCUGUACUCAAAAGGUAUUGCUGAGUUCCCAAUGUAAAUCUACAAGGACUUUGAUUACUAUAUGAAUCACCAUCAAACUACAAAAUAAAUUAUAUGCACAUAAAUUAGAGAUUACUAUUUAACGAUCUAGUAAUUAUAUAAUAGCAAUUGCUUAUUGUUAUAGAUAUUCUGUUAGUAAGAAUAUUAACACUUGACAGUAUUUAGCAGCUUGUUACUUGUGUAUUUUGUAUGUUACGUACAUGUAAGUUCUAAAAUAGAAUACUCAUUAUUGAUUUUUUUCUCAGACACUAUGGAAGAGUUUUAAAAAUUAGUUUCAGAAUCAGAAAACAGAAGAAAAUGACAAACAAUAAUUUAGAUCACUGGAUACAUUUUUGGAAAAGAUGGUUGGGGGUGGGGGCAAAGCCUGUUGGAUUAGGAUGUGAAUUUACCAUCAAUAUUUAUGCCAAGCAUAAAUGGUUAAUUUUGAGGAAAAGUGGAAGGGAAAAAGAAAACAUUAGACUGGAUAUUGCCUAUCCAGGUAACUGGCUACAUAAUUUGAAUAUUUUAACAAUUUGAGUAUUAACAACAAUCUGGUUGAAAUUUGUCUGUCUUAUGUAAGAAACUUAAUUUUUCAUUUAAAUUUAU